AUUGAACGCUGGCGGCAGGCCUAACACAUGCAAGUCGAACGAGUGGCGGACGGGUGAGUAAUGUAUGGGAAACUGCCCGAUGGAGGGGGAUAACUACUGGAAACGUUAGCUAUUACCGCAUACCAUCGGAUGUGCCCAGAUGGGCUUAGCUAGUAGGUGGGGUAACGGCUCACGUAGGCGCAGUUCCCUAGCUGGUCUGAGAGGAUGAGCAGCCAACCUGGAACUGAGACACGGCCCAGACUCCUACGGGAGGCAGCGGUGGGGAAUAUUGGCAAAGGGGCGCAAGCCUGAUGAGGCCAUGCCGCGUGGAUGAAGAAGGCCUUCGGGUAGUAAAGUACUUUCAGCGAGGAGGCGUUACUCGCAGAGGAAGCAUCGGCUAACUCCGUGCCAGCAGCCGCGGUAAUAC
rnacentral:rRNA from 1 species